rnacentral:rRNA from 1 species
UGGGGAAUAUUGGACAAUGGGCGCAAGCCUGAUCCAGCCAUGCCGCGUGGAUGAUGAAGGCCCUAGGGUUGUAAAGUCCUUUCGACGGGGAAGAUAAUGACGGUACCCGUAGAAGAAGCCCCGGCUAACUUCGUGCCAGCAGCCGCGGUAAUACGAAGGGGGCUAGCGUUGUUCGGAAUUACUGGGCGUAAAGCGCACGUAGGCGGACUGAUAAGUCAGGGGUGAAAUCCCGGGGCUCAACCUCGGAACUGCCUUUGAUACUGUUAGUCUCGAGUCCGGAAGAGGUGAGUGGAAUUCCUAGUGUAGAGGUGAAAUUCGUAGAUAUUAGGAAGAACACCAGUGGCGAAGGCGGCUCACUGGUCCGGUACUGACGCUGAGGUGCGAAAGCGUGGGGAGCAAACAGGAUUAGAUACCCCCGUAGUCCCUGAGCGGGCUGGCAAGGCGCAU